AGAAAGACAAACUCUGAUUUUUCGUGUUCAAUGUUUGACUGUCCGUUUUAUAUAAUUUUUUUUAUAAUUAGUAUUUUCAUUGUUGUUAGAUGAUAAAACAUGAUUAAUACUUUAUGCGUGACUUGUCUUUUUAAAAAAAAUUAUAAUUUUUUCAAAUAAGAUGGACGGUUAAACGUUGGACACGGAAACUCAGGGUUUGCCUUUUU
rnacentral:pre_miRNA from 1 species